rnacentral:rRNA from 1 species
GACGAACGCUGGCGGCGUGCUUAACACAUGCAAGUCGAGCGGUAAGGCCUUUCGGGGUACACGAGCGGCGAACGGGUGAGUAACACGUGGGUGAUCUGCCCUGCACUUCGGGAUAAGCCUGGGAAACUGGGUCUAAUACCGGAUAUGACCUCCUAUCGCAUGGUGGGUGGUGGAAAGAUUUAUCGGUGCAGGAUGGGCCCGCGGCCUAUCAGCUUGUUGGUGGGGUAAUGGCCUACCAAGGCGACGACGGGUAGCCGACCUGAGAGGGUGACCGGCCACACUGGGACUGAGACACGGCCCAGACUCCUACGGGAGGCAGCAGUGGGGAAUAUUGCACAAUGGGCGAAAGCCUGAUGCAGCGACGCCGCGUGAGGGAUGACGGCCUUCGGGUUGUAAACCUCUUUCAGCAGGGACGAAGCGCAAGUGACGGGACCUGCAGAAGAAGCACCGGCUAACUACGU